rnacentral:rRNA from 1 species
AGCAGCCGCGGUAAUUCCAGCUCCAAUAGCGUAUAUUAAAGUUGUUGCAGUUAAAAAGCUCGUAGUUGAAUUUCGGGAUUGACGUGAUGGUCAUGCCUUAAGGGGUAUGAACUGUUGCAGUUGAUUUCUCACCUUCUGGAAAAACUUGAUGUCCUUUAUUGGGUGUCUUGCGGAUCCAGGACCUUUACCUUGAAAAAAUUAGAGUGUUUAAAGCAGGCAUUUUUGCUCGAAUACAUUAGCAUGGAAUAAUAGAAUAGGACGGCAUGGUUCUAUUUUGUUGGUUUCUAGGAUCACCGUAAUGAUUAAUAGGGAUAGUUGGGGGGCAUUAGUAUUCAAUUGUCAGAGGUGAAAUUCUUGGAUUUAUUGAAGACUAACUACUGCGAAAGCAUUUGCCAAGGAUGUUUUUCAUUAAUCAAGAACGAAAGUUAGGGGAUCGAAGACGAUCAGAUACCGUCGUAGUCUUAACCAUAAACUAUGCCGACUAGGAAUCAGACGAUGUUAAUUUUUUAAUGACUCG